UACGUAGGGUGCAAGCGUUAAUCGGAAUUACUGGGCGUAAAGCGUGCGCAGGCGGUGAUGUAAGACAGGUGUGAAAUCCCCGGGCUUAACCUGGGAACUGCAUUUGUGACUGCAUCGCUGGAGUGCGGCAGAGGGGGAUGGAAUUCCGCGUGUAGCAGUGAAAUGCGUAGAGAUGUGGAGGAAUACCGAUGGCGAAGGCAGCCCCUGGGCCAAUACUGACGCUCAUGCACGAAAGCGUGGGGAGCAAACAGG
rnacentral:rRNA from 1 species